UGGAGUCUAUUUGUGCACAGUAGAAU
rnacentral:piRNA from 1 species